rnacentral:rRNA from 1 species
UACGUAGGGUGCAAGCGUUAAUCGGAAUUACUGGGCGUAAAGCGUGCGCAGGCGGUUUCGUAAGUCUGUCGUGAAAUCCCCGGGCUUAACCUGGGGAAUGGCGAUGGAGACUGCGAAGCUAGAGUUUGGCAGAGGGGGGUAGAAUUCCACGUGUAGCAGUGAAAUGCGUAGAGAUGUGGAGGAACACCGAUGGCGAAGGCAGCCCCCUGGGUCAAGAUUGACGCUCAUGCACGAAAGCGUGGGGAGCAAACAGG